rnacentral:misc_RNA from 1 species
GAUGAAGCUGUUGAAACUGCAAAACAAUUAGCACUCCAGGAAGGUUUACUGGUUGGCAUAUAUUCUGGUGCUGCUGCAGCUGCUGUGAUGAAGGUUGGAAAGAGAUCAGAAAAUGCAGGGAAGCUGAUUGCAGUUNNNNNNNNNNNGGAGCAAUACCUGUCCUCCGUUCUUUUCCAGUCAAUUCGAGAAGAAUAUGAGAAGAUUCAACCUGAGCCAUGAUACUCCCACGUUCGAGUUUGUCUAACAGAAUAGCAAAUUUUGUCUCCUGAAAUUUCAUCCCAAAGCAUAAUUGUAC